rnacentral:rRNA from 1 species
AGUGAACGCUGGCGGCAGGCCUAACACAUGCAAGUCGAGCGGCAGCGCGGGGGCAACCCUGGCGGCGAGCGGCGGACGGGUGAGGAAUACAUCGGAAUCUACCCAGUCGUGGGGGAUAACGUAGGGAAACUUACGCUAAUACCGCAUACGACCUGAGGGUGAAAGCAGGGGACCGCAAGGCCUUGCGCGAUUGGAUGAGCCGAUGUCCGAUUAGCUAGUUGGUGAGGUAAAGGCUCACCAAGGCGACGAUCGGUAGCUGGUCUGAGAGGAGGAUCAGCCACACUGGAACUGAGACACGGUCCAGACUCCUACGGGAGGCAGCAGUGGGGAAUAUUGGACAAUGGGCGCAAGCCUGAUCCAGCCAUGCCGCGUGUGUGAAGAAGGCCUUCGGGUUGUAAAGCACUUUUGUCCGGAAAGAAAUCCUGUCGGUUAAUACCUGGCGGGGAUGACGGUACCGGAAGAAUAAGCACCGGCUAACUUCGUGCCAGCCGCCGCGGUAACAC